GUUCUCUAUGUUGCAAUGGAAACGAGUCAAAUUAAUUGUCAAAGUUAAACAAAGUGAGAGACAGAAAGAUACCACUUACAGACUAUGAAAGAGAGCGCCACAUGGGAAGACUGAAGGACAUACUGUAUGAAAAUGAAAGAGUAAAGGAAAGGAGGAGAUACAAAAACAUGGACAUGCAGAUUGAAAGAGAAAUUGCAAGGUACAGGGAGGAGUUGAGAAGAAAUGAAAUGAGAAGGCCCGUAAGGGAGGAGCCAGAUAGACAGAGGGAUCCAGACUGGGAGUUUGACUCAGGAAUAAGAGAUAGAAGGAGGGAAAGUUAUUCAGGGGUCACUGACCUUUCAAGCAUGAGGGAAAGAGAGACAGACAGAGACAGAGAAAGGCAUGGACAAAGAGACAGAGAGGGCAGAUAUUAUCCUCGUCUCAUGGAAAGAGAGACAGAGAGCUUUUCAGACAGGGAAAGGAGGACUGAUAGACAGAGAGAGGUAGAGAGAUCUAGGAAAAAAGAUACAAAAAGCGAAGGAGACAGUGAUGGAGACCGGGGUAAGGAAGGGAAGAGAGAAGAAGAUGCUACACAAAGACACAAACUCUACAAGAGUGAAGAGAGAGACAAACGUAGAGAGAGAGAAGCAGAAAGAUGGCGAGACAAGGCAAUAAGAGGAAGAGAUUACAGAGAGAUGGGUUAUCAUGAUCCAAAAGGACAAAAUUCAGAACGACUCAAAGAGACAGAUAAACCAAGAGAUAGAACGAGAGACUCCAAAGACAAAAGAAUGGACAGAGAUGCUUACAUAUACACAGCUGAAAGAGGAAGGUAUAGAGAUGGAGAACGGACAAGAGAUAGGGAUAGGUAUUCUGAAAGAGAGAUUGAAGAGUGGGAGAGGCGGAG
rnacentral:lncRNA from 12 species